AACCUAGCACACCUGCGGUGUGUACCUGCGGAGGGAUCAUUAACGAGUUACCACUCUAUAACCCUUUGUGAACAUACCUACAUGUUGCUUCGGCGGUCGGCCCCCCCGGGCCCCCGGCCCCGCUCACGCGGGGCGUCCGCCGGAGGAUAACCAAACUCUGAUUUAACGACGUUUCUUCUGAGUGGCACAAGCAAAUAAUCAAAACUUUUAGCAAUGGAUCU
rnacentral:misc_RNA from 1 species